rnacentral:lncRNA from 1 species
GCUAUAGAGCUCAUUCCACUCCCUUAACCCCAGUUUUGCAGGUUCAGUGUACAGUGUACAGGGACAGUCCAGCAGAGUACAGGAAAAGUAAAGAGAUCUGUAAUAGCUUAGAAUGGACAUGUAAUAUUAAAGAGAUGUAAUAGUUGUUGCUUGACCUAGUGAUGUAUGUUAUACAUGAUCUGUAUAUGUAUAUAUGUUUUCCUGUAUGUGAAAACCAGGCUUAACAGGUAUGAGUUAACCCAUCUAGAGCAAGCUCUAGUCAGGGAUACAGAGUACAGAGUACAUGAGUACAGAGUACAGAGAUAGUGCAUGCACAGGUUAAGCCUUGGUUCAGAAAAGAGUUUUAUUUUCAUAGAAAAUGUAUGAUCAUGUAUGAGGUUUACAGGUACACAGAGAGUAUAGCAGGCUUGCUACGGGUUCUGGCGGCCUUAAGCCGACCUGAAUCCUAGCGCCGGUGACGGUCCAUUUUGGGGUCGUUACAGAUUGGUAUCAGAGCCCUAGGUUCAUAUGAUCGGACCUAUAGAGACAGUGUUGGGCUCAGACAGGUU